rnacentral:sRNA from 1 species
UAUCUUCCAGUGUAGAGAUCUAUAUGAUAAAAAUAUAUUUCUGGCCGGGUGUGGUGGCUCACGCCUGUAAUCCCAGCACUUUGGGAGGCUGAGGCGGAUGGAUCAUGAGGUUGAGACCAUCCUGGCUAACAUGGUGAAACCCCGUCUCUACUAAAAAUACAAAAAAUUAGCCAGGCGUGGCGGCGCCUGUAGUCCCAGCUACUCGGGAGGCUGAGGCAGGAGAAUGGCGUCAACCUGGGAGGCGGAGCUUGCAGUGAGCCGAGAUCGCGCCACUGCACUCCAGCCUGCGCGACAGAGCGAGACUCCGUCUCAAAAAAAAAAAAUUAUAUAUAUAUAUAUAUAUAUAAUUCUUUGUAGAAAUUAGCUCCCUAAAUACUUGGGGUUGGUGAAGGAGACCGGGGAUUUGGAAGAGUUUCUUAGGAGUCUUGUUUAGCAUUCAGAAGGGACUCAGGCCACACUGGGUUUCUAUUUUAGGUUGAAAGUUGUGGCUCCUCACUGCCCUUUUUCCCCACAAUAAACUGCAUAGCAAGUCAGUAACAGCGAUGACUCAUCUCCUAAUCCUGCUCCUUAAAGGGGGAAACCAGAUGCUUCAGUUCCCCGAGGGGUAGUGUUGAUCAUGCCAAGGUGAGGACCAUCGUUCCAUCCCUUGCAAAGUGAAUCAAAGUGAAUUGUAGCGAAACACAGAUAAGACCAGAGGGUGUCUGCACUGAGCAGUCCAGGAAGGAGGGGAGCUGCAGCGGCUAUCACUGGGCUGGGGACACGAGGAGGAACUGCAGGUGACAUCAGAUCCAGUUUCAACUUGAGGAAAAUUCAGCCCUGGGAGCUGCUGGUAGAGCCCAGACCUUGCUGCUGAGUCAUCUGCAGGGAUUAUCCCGGGAGCUGCUGGUAGUUCCAGCUGUGGUAGAGCCCAGACCUUGCUGCUGAGUCAUCUGCACAGAUAAUUCCAUGAUUGAAAGGCCGUGGGUAGAGACGUGAAUGGAGAAAGUGGAGUAGAUGAAAUGGUUAAAUGUUGGAGAAAAGAGGCUAUUUAUGAAUAUGACCACUGUCAUUCAGAUAAAAUUUCUGGAGUUUUAUCAUUGAAAAAAGUCUCAUUAUGUUUCUAUUUGAAAGCAAACCAUUAUGCUUUUUUGAGGAAAAAAAAAAAAAAAAACCUAUGAGUCACGCUAUGCUUGAAAGUGUUUAAUUCAGACCAUUUCAUCUUUAAGAAGGCCCCUGGUCACAUUAUACAGAUGAUUUGCUUAUUAAAUGGAAUUCCUGUUUCUUGCACUAUGUUGUGGUGUCAAUAUGAGAAGCCUAAUUAACAGAAUAAAAAGCAUGAAAGCUUCUUUAGCUAAAGUCAAACUUACAGAAUUGUCUAAUGGUAUGUAGCCCCUCGUUCUGAGAUGGGCGUUUUCCCCAGAUAACUUGAAAAUCUACUGGUAACAGCCACUUCCCUUUAAAGAAUUCUAUUACUAAUAGCCGCGACAAAAUGAUAUUGUAUUUCAAAGUUACGAAUUUGCAGGCCUUAAAAACUAACUUAUUUUUCCUGAUUAUUGGGUUUAUUGUAGAAUUCUACGUGUAAGCAUUCCCUAGCCGCUAUAGCUUUGAAUAAGCAGAGCUUUUUUCAGAGUUCUGGUAGCGCUCAGCCCAGCACCUUUUAUUCUGAAUGUGAAGUGUGUGCCUCCGUGUCACAGAGCCACAGCCUCCCCAGGGACGCUGCGCGCGGAGCCCUGUCAGAGCAGCGCGUCAGUGACAGCGGCAGCCAAGCCAGGAAGUUAUCAGGCAGCCUCGACCACCACCAGAUUUGACUCCGCGAGCUCUUUUGAGGGAAAACCUGGUAAAACGUCAAGGUGUCUAACUGACCUCGCCUUUAUCAUCUGUUCUGUAAAUCUUAGGAAAGGUCUGGAAAAAAAAUCAAAACCAUUCUGUCCGUUAAAGGGCAGCCACUCCUGGCCCUCCAGGAUGCCAAGGGCUGAGUGAUCCCAAGCUGAUCUGUAGAAGCACAGCCUGUGGCAUUUGCGGUUUAUUGUCAUGAAAAUGAUUCAAUGUAGAACUUUUUCAAAUGGCAAAAUCAAACCGCUCUUCUUUAUAUUGUUUUUGAAUGAGUUGUCAUGGAAACAAAAUGGAAAUAAAUGGUGUUUUUUUUCCAGAUUUGUGCUCAUUGCAGGUCUUCCCAAAAUAGUAGCUUUACUGAAUGAACAAAGAACUAAAAUGAAGGUCCCAAACUCAUCGCUAAGGGGCCUCCACUAAAGAGCAUCACCCCCGGAGGGGCGCGGGUCUCAGGGUCCUCGUGGCCGCGUGUGGAUUAUGUCACCACAGGAGAGGAGCGAGUCCUUUCCAGGCACAUGAGGAGAAGGAGUCAGUGUUAAUGGGGGGCUUUGCUUCUGUGAAAUCGCAUACACUUAAGUUAGCCAAAGCUGUCGUGAGACUGGCAUUUCCGAAUUGGAUUGAGGGUUUCAGGCUUCAUGCCAGCACACCACAGCCUGUUCCUGAGUAUCUGUGCUGAGAGGCCGUAAGAUUAGUGUGAACAGGAGAAAUUUCCAGGUCCCGCUCCCGGUCCCCUCGGAGGAGAGCCCACUCCCCUGAGAGACGGAGAGAAGAGAGGAGCGUGCCCACUGCCUACCGUGUGAGCAGCAGCCCUGGGGCCAGCAGGAAGCGGACCCGCUCCAGAAGUCCCCACGAGAAGAAAAAGAAGAGGCGGUCCCGGUCGCGGACCAAGUCCAAGGCCAGGUCUCAGUCGGUGUCACCCAGCAAGCAGGCAGCUCCCCGGCCCGCAGCCCCCUCGGCCCCCGCGGCCCCCUCGGCCCACUCGGCCAGCGUCUCCCCUGUGGAGAGUCGGGGCUCCAGCCAGGAGCGCUCCAGGGGAGUCUCUCAGGAAAAAGAAGCCCAGAUCUCUUCCGCAAUCGUUUCUUCCGUGCAGAGCAAAAUCACUCAGGAUCUCAUGGCCAAAGUCAGAGCAAUGCUUGCAGCUUCCAAAAACCUGCAAACCAGCGCCUCCUGAGACGGGGCCAGCGGAGGCAGAGCCGGGAGGCUGCGUGGGCUUCUGGGCAGGCUCACAUGGACGCUGGCCACACCAUCCACCUGGCCGCCUCCGUGGACCCUUGGUGGCUUUUGUAAAUUAAUUUUUGAUGACAUUUUAAGUUUCAAGAUUUCUGACCAGCAGUCUCUUACCUGUAUAUUUGUAAAUAUAUCAUGUUUCUGUGAAAAUGUAUUAUGAAAUAAAAUGGGAGGAAACACCUUUUCUAGCUAG